AGUCGAGGGGUAACAUGAGUGCUUGCACUUGAUGACGACCGGCGGACGGGUGAGUAACACGUGGGAAUCUGCCCAUCGGUGGGGGAUAGCCCGAGGAAACUCGGAUUAAUACCGCAUACGCCCUACGGGGCAAAGUAGACCUCUGAUUUAAGUUUACGCCGAUGGAUGAGCCCGCGGCCGAUUAGCUAGUUGGUGGGGUAAAGGCCUACCAAGGCAACGAUCGGUAGCUGGUCUGAGAGGACGAUCAGUCACACCGGAACUGAGACACGGUCCGGACUCCUACGGGAGGCAGCAGUGGGGAAUAUUGGACAAUGGGCGAAAGCCUGAUCCAGCAAUGCCGCGUGGGUGAAGAAGGCUUGAGGGUUGUAAAGCCCUUUCAGCAGGGAGGAAAAGCGUACGGUUAAUACCCGGGCGUCUUGACGUUACCUGCAGAAGAAGCACCGGCUAACUCCGUGCCAGC
rnacentral:rRNA from 1 species